rnacentral:rRNA from 1 species
UACGGAGGGGGCUAGCGUUGUUCGGAAUUACUGGGCGUAAAGCGCGCGCAGGCGGCUCUUCAAGUCAGGGGUGAAAGCCCAGAGCUCAACUCUGGAAUUGCCUUUGAGACUGUAGAGCUUGAGUACGGGAGAGGUGAGUGGAAUUCCCAGUGUAGAGGUGAAAUUCGUAGAUAUUGGGAAGAACACCGGUGGCGAAGGCGGCUCACUGGCCCGUUUCUGACGCUCAGGCGCGACAGCGUGGGGAUCAAACAGG